rnacentral:rRNA from 1 species
AGUCGAGCGAAGCACUUUGCUUAGAUUCUUCGGAUGAAGAGGAUUGUGACUGAGCGGCGGACGGGUGAGUAACGCGUGGGUAACCUGCCUCAUACAGGGGGAUAACAGUUAGAAAUGACUGCUAAUACCGCAUAAGACCACAGCACCGCAUGGUGCGGGGGUAAAAACUCCGGUGGUAUGAGAUGGACCCGCGUCUGAUUAGCUAGUUGGUAAGGUAACGGCUUACCAAGGCGACGAUCAGUAGCCGACCUGAGAGGGUGACCGGCCACAUUGGGACUGAGACACGGCCCAAACUCCUACGGGAGGCAGCAGUGGGGAAUAUUGCACAAUGGGGGAAACCCUGAUGCAGCGACGCCGCGUGAGCGAAGAAGUAUUUCGGUAUGUAAAGCUCUAUCAGCAGGGAAGAAAAUGACGGUACCUGACUAAGAAGCACCGGCUAAAUACGUGCCAGCAGCCGCGGUAAUACGUAUGGUGCAAGCGUUAUCCGGAUUUACUGGGUGUAAAGGGAGCGUAGACGGAGUGGCAAGUCUGAUGUGAAAACCCGGGGCUCAACCCCGGGACUGCAUUGGAAACUGUCAAUCUGGAGUACCGGAGAGGUAAGCGGAAUUCCUAGUGUAGCGGUGAAAUGCGUAGAUAUUAGGAGGAACACCAGUGGCGAAGGCGGCUUACUGGACGGUAACUGACGUUGAGGCUCGAAAGCGUGGGGAGCAAACAGGAUUAGAUACCCUGGUAGUCCACGCCGUANACGAUGACUACUA